AGAGUUUUUAUAUACCUUGGUAUCUUGGUUAGGCUGCCGUGGGAGAUCAAGAUUGGUUUGCAUAGGUCAAGAUAUUUAGAGGAAAUAAUUUUUUUUUUCGUUAGCUCACUCUGCAUAUUGAUUAAUGAUAUCAAUAUCACGUUAAAAUUUUUGACGAUUCAAAUAUAGCCAAAGUACCUAUCUACUUCCCCUGAACUGUGGACAGUUUCUAUUUACAGGCAAGGCUGACUGAGGAAGAUUUAAUUAAUUCGAUCAAUUCAAUCAAAGGGUAGUUAUCAUGAGUGUACCUGAGCCUGAGGUGGGUCAAGUCAUAGUGGUGGUUGAAGCUCCUUCAUCUUCAGCUGAUCAGGAAACCACAACAAGAAACACUCUGGUCAAGCCAACUGCAAUGAAAAAAAGUGCAGAAUGUAAUAAAAACAAGCGCAAGACAAUAGUAUGGGAGCGCCUGGAAAAACUUCCUUCAGCAAAGGCCUUUCAGCAGUGGUUAACAAAACAGGCGGCCGCAGGCAGGAAGUACCGCAAGAAGAGGUCAAGAAUUACUGGGCGGGGAUUUACGGAUUUCUACAGCUGUUCAGGCGUUGGAUGCCCAGUGCAGCUGGAGGUUUUGUUUAUUGACAGCUCAGAGGAUGUCAUCGUCUCAUACAAUGGGGAAACGCACAGCCAUGGCACAAAACCCCACUCUGGCUGGGGCCUGCCUGACAAGGUCAAAGAGGAGGUGCAGCGGCUGUUUCAGGCAGGCAUUACGAACGUCCCCGAGAUCGACUCCCGCCUUCAGAAGCUCGGCCACACUGAAUACACUGUGAAGCAGCUGAGUAGUUACACGAUUCGCCUGAGGCGCCUGUCCCGCGACCAGGAGGUCACCCAGGAGUACUCGCCGUUCAGCGUGUGGGCCGGCGGCGACCGGUCCUCCCAGGAGGAGUCUCGGGUGGCGGAGUCGGAGGACCGGGGGGACUUCUCGCCCUCGGCGGCCGACCACCAGGACGUCGAGUUGUCCGACUACUCGGCGCCACCCUCGCCGCCGCGCCGAUCAGCGACCCAGGGCGCCGGCACUCGCGGAUCCCGCCGACCACGGCCAGUCAUGGACGAGGGCACCGUUCGCCGCCUGGUGGACGCCAGUCUGGCGGCCCGCAGCCACUCGUACAGUCCGUACAGCCAGUUCCCGGUGGGUGCCGCGCUGCUCUGCGCCGACGGCCGCAUCGUCACCGGCUGCAACGUGGAGAACGCUUCGUUCGGGCUGACCAACUGCGCGGAGCGGACGGCCGUCUACAAGGCCGUGUCAGAGGGCCAGCGCCAGUUCUCCGCCGUCGCCAUCGCCGCCGAGAUGGGCGACAAGUUCGUCGGACCGUGCGGCGCCUGUAGACAGGUUCUCGCCGAGUUCAACGCCGAAAUGCCAGUGAUCCUGGCCAAACCCAACGGCGACAUCUCCCGCACCAACAUGAGGGACCUGCUGCCGAUGGCCUUCCUGCCGGAGGAGGUCACCUUCAAGAAGGACUGAGCCGAUGGCCUUCCUGCCGGAGGAGGUCACCUUCAAAAAGGACUGAGCCGAUGGCCUUCCUGCCGGAGGAGGUCACCUUCAAAAAGGACUGAGCCGAUGGCCUUCCUGCCGGAGGAGGUCACCUUCAAGAAGGACUGAGCCGAUGGCCUUCCUGCCGGAGGAGGUCACCUUCAAGAAGGACUGAGCCGAUGGCCUUCCUGCCGGAGGAGGUCACCUUCAAGAAGGACUGAGCCGAUGGCCUUCCUGCCGGAGGAGGUCACCUUCAAGAAGGACUGAGCCGAUGGCCUUCCUGCCGGAGGAGGUCACCUUCAAGAAGGACUGAGCCGAUGGCCUUCCUGCCGGAGGAGGUCACCUUCAAGAAGGACUGAGCGCCGCCCCAUCCAUUCGGGUACCAAUGUCUGUCGCCCCAGCUGGGAUGGAACUCUAUAUGAACUGAGUGUUUACGGUGGGGUUUUGGACCGCCGCAACAGCCAUCACUGCCGGGGAAUGGCCACUCGGUACACAGCCAUCAGCCGGCCGUGGUUGCUGACGGCGGCCACGUUUGUAGCAGAGGCAGUAGAAAUGUGUUGGAAUCUAGAUGCUGGGUUUGAGGGAGGGAGGGAGGGAGGGGAGGGGGGACACCGCCUGCCAGGGAUGACCUAUAACCAUUUAUUUGUAUUGACGUUUUUUUUUUUGUUCGCCGCGUUGUUUAGCAAUUACAGCUGAGCACGCCUUAGGCUCCGCCUAGACCGCUGAAUAUACCUGACCGCUUGUUUUUACAA
rnacentral:misc_RNA from 1 species